UGUCCUCGGGCGCAGCACUCCUGAUACGGCUGGAAGCUGAACCGCAGCAUUUCACAAGCAGGGCUGGACACUCUGAUCUAGGAGUCGUCAGAGGACAUGACUUCAUGGAUGUCUCUGGACCCAGGGGAGAGGAAAAAGAUCUUGGAGGGGUGAUAAAAUGCAUCGUCAGUGUUUGUCUGAUCAAAAAGCAAGCUCUAGGUUUUCCUGACCUGCACCUUUAAGAACUGCAAGCACAGUUGGAGUUCAGAUGACUGGCUCAACAAUGUCUAGGAGCUCCUUAAAGAUAGUCACUAAUUAAUGAACACGAAGCCCCGGUUUGUGAGACAUUUGAAACAACGCAGAACAAGGCUCUCUGCGCUGCGUACUUUGGGGACUGGUCUGCAAGCGCGAGAGGCAGGAGAGACCUGACGGUGAGCGGAGGCCCAGUCCGCUCCUGAAUCCCCGGAUCGCCAGGUCGUCACGCGGAGGGGUUUUUCUCUUUAAA